rnacentral:lncRNA from 1 species
UACUAAAUAAGAUAUUAUACGUGCAACGCACGUACUCUCAGCUAGUUAGAAUAAAAAGAGCUUCACGAUGCAGCUAGCUAGCAACAUACACGAACAUUUCAAGAACUAUAUUAGCCACUCAAAAACCCUCGCGUCUCCAACUGCUGGAAAAUCCAGUAGAAGACGGGGCAGACGAAAGUAUCGUCUAUGAGAUCUUGCUGCUGCCGUUUCUUCCUCUUGCACGACAAAUACAACUUCCUUAUAACAACAUACGCCGUUAUCAAUGCAAACAGGUUCAAAACCACCGCCAGCACUGUCAUAAUCAAAUGCCCCACCGCUUGCCUCCUCGUAGUAUGAGUGAUCAUCGCCACAGAAACUCCGUAACUGAUCGCGAUGGCCACCAGCGACACACACAUCGCGUACAUGGCCACCGCCAUGAAUAAAAUAUUGGUGGACGGGAGGCCCGUGGUGACGAGGAAGAUCGUGAUGAGAGAUGCGAUGAAGGCCGUGGUGUUGGCGCGCACCAAGUGUCCGUACAUCUUGGGAUGGGUGGACGCCAUCACGGCCUGGCCGGCCCUGUGUGUAGGCUUAUCGUCCUGCCACACGCCGCCCGGGGGGCUCACGGCCACCUGGAACGCCAUGGUGGCGAUCAGGACCACCACCACCAUCGUGACGUCGGUCAUCUUGGGGAGGGCUUCGAAAUAUGAUUCGUUAGAUAAAUUUAUCAAGAUUCCUUUGAUUUUUUCGUAGGUAGCUGUGUGUGGAGGGCUCUCGUUCAAGACCUGCAGCGCUGUUUUGCCCAUCGAGUUUCGUGUUUGCCUCUCCACAGUUUUGUUUUCCACCAAGUAUCGUAUAGUCUGAGAUUUAAUAUUCAAGAUUAGCCAUUUCAACUAAUUUUAAUCCAUUCAUAUCAUAGUCGAAUUGGAAAUUUUCAACAAGAUGAUCCCAGACAACAAAUCUCAUUCUGUGGAUUAAUUACUACUCCCUCCGUCCCAUUCUAAUAGGCUUGUUUUCCUUUUUCGGAACGUCCCAUUAGAAUAGGCUCAUUUUUCAUUUUAAAUAUAAAAUACUUAAUUGGCGUGGACCACACCACUUUCUUUAUAAAAAGUAAAUUUCUUAAUCUCCGUACCCAAAAGAAGUGAGCCUAUUAGAAUGGGUAUUACAACUUAAAUCGAUUGUGUGACUAAUUAAUCAAAAGAUGAUGACAAGAAAGGAUAAGUAAUAAGAGUUGAGAUGUUACCUCAACUUGAUUGCACCUGACAGCCAAAUGCAAGAGUGUCUCGCCAUCAUCAUCUUUGGCACACACAAACUCUCCCAACUUCUCCACCAAAACCUUCAAUGCACUAAGCUGACCAUGUUUCACACACAGGUGCAGCACAGUCUGCCCGCGAUGCAGUCUCUCCAUAGCAGGCAAACAACUCUCUCCAAGGAGAUGCUUGACUAACUCGACAUGCCCGUUCAUGGCGGCAACAUGAACCGGGUUCAUGCCUUGGUCGUCACGCCACCAGCACAUCUCCGGGGCAACUGAUAGCAGUUUUGAGGCGAUGAUGACGUGCCCUUCUGCUGCUGCGAUGUGGAGAGGCGAUGAUUUCUGGGAGUCUGGAAUCCGAGCUAGACGUCGAUUCAUCCUCAACACCUCUUCAACGAUGGCUGAUUGUCCGUGCAUUGCUGCUACGUGUAGAAGAUUUCUUGAACAUGCAAACGGGGCUUCAUGAACAAGAUAUGGAUCUUCUUGAAGAAGUUGUUUAAGUGUUGUUAGAUCCCCUUUUGAUACAGCAUUGUAGAGUUUCCUUUCAACUACUUCUUUCACCAUUCUUCCCCACUAGCUAACUAUAUAUAUAUCGAUGCCUUCCUUUUUCUUUCUUUCUCUAGUUUUUUCAUACUACUCCGGCAUAAAGUUUAAAAUUAAGGUUGAUUCAAAUGAAGAUUCUGCCC